UUUUUAUCUGAUUCAGUUUUUACUUGUAUAAAGUUAGAAUUUUUAUUCCAUCCCUCUAUUUUUAAUUGGAUUUUUGUUGAUUUUCUGAUUGCAGGACUGUUGAUUUUCUGUAACCAAAAAAUUUAUCUUGUUCAUUCGAUUCAAUUUUUACUUGUAGUAUCGUUGAUCUUCUAUUUGACAUUUUUAUUUGUGAACGAAACAAUAUCCAAAAAGAUUCUCCUUUUCAUCUGAUUCAGUUUUUACUUCUACAAAUUUUGUAGGAUUGUGAUAGAUGUUGGCCCGGAUUUUGUCCUCAAGAUCAACAUUUGAGACAGAACGCGUUGAAUAUCUGGUCUUCCCAAGCAGGAUUUCGGCAAGGAAACGUGAAAUACAAGAUGGAUUUGGGAGGACGCCGGUAAAUCGAGUUCAUAUGCUAAAAAUUCGAUGCGUUUGAAUAAUUGGAUUGGGCCGUAAUACUUUUUGCGAGCUUUUGCAAUGAUGGUGGACGGGUACUUGCAAAUAGGGUUGAAGUUUCAGUAACAUAAGAAGUGGGAAAUGAGGGAGCAUGGCCAUACAGGUCUUCAAAUGCAGGGCAGAGUGAUACGAGGUAUUAUAUAAUUAAGCAAGUGAAAGGAAGCAUGUCCACUGUUGUGGGUUGUCACUGACAAAACAUUGCAGGGUAUAAAAGUUCGCUAAAGAGGUCCAGCAAUGCUUCUGCCUUGGGAAUCCAACCUAAUCAAGAAGGUGGCUCCAUUUUUUCAGAAAUUUUCAACCCGGAAUUUGAGACGCGCUGUGAAAGAUUUUCAUGGAAGAGUUCUUCUGACAUGAUAGUUAGGAGAGAGGGGCAAUUAGCUCCAAAGCACCUGUGCUGGGUUGUGGGAUCAUAUUUUGAGAAAAUUGGGUCCACAUCUUUUGCUGUCUACUCAAUUGCAGUGACUGAUGCACAUAAUAGAACUUGGUUUGUAAAAAGAAGAUACUGGAAUUUUGAGCGAUUUCAUCGGCAUCUUAGAGUUAUUCCAAAUUACACGUUGCAUUUGCCUCCUAAAAGGAUAUUUUCUUCGAACACUUAUGAUGCCUUUGUACAUCAAUGCUGUGCUCAGCUUGAUAAAUAUCUCCAGGAUCUCCUGUCAAUAGCUAAUGUUGCUGAACAACAUGAAGUAUGGGACUUUUUCAGCGUUUCCUCCUCAAAGGAAGAAUGCCCAAAGAUUGGGUAUUCCAAUUUAACAACUAUGAAAUCAGCAAAUCAUUCAAUCAAUUUCGACUUCAGUUGAAGAUGAGCACCUUCGAUACAAGGUUCGCUCCAUCCAUUUCUUCUUCGCAUUGAACUUUUCCGAUUUCGUUGCCAUUGAAGUCUUCGUAACGGUGGAACCUUGAUGUUUUUGGUAUUGCGUUGUUUUUUUAUUUUUAGGAUUUUAAUUUCUGAAUAACUUUCUAGAGUAAAUUGGUGAUAUUCAAUUGGAAUUCGGUGAAAUUGUAAGUAUCAGAGUGUGAGGAUUGGAGUACGAUGGUUCAGAUUGAAUAUUUUGCAUCAGUUUUAGGUACUCACUCUCUCACUAUUUUUCUCUAAUUUCUAUCAAUUUGUUAAGGUUUAGAAAUCUCUAACACCACUUUAUCUUUGCAAAACAUUUUUCUCUAUUUAAGAACUUGGGCAUCUUCAUCGUUGCUUACUUGCUUUGGUAUAGAUUUAUUGAGACAUACAUGCCUGGAGAUGAUCGAUUAAAUUCAUCUGGUCAAAUUGGAUUUGUGAUAUGUCACAACUCAUAGUGUGAUUCAUGGACCAAGCUUUUUAUGUGAAAGGCAUCAUGCAACAUUAAAUUCUGGAUCUGAGAUGAUCAAUCCAUUAGGCAACCAUCAGACAAAGAGAAAAGCAAAGUUAUCGGCAUGCUCUGCAAGAGAGUUUCGGUUGUAAAUUGCUUAUGCUACAUAUGUAACAUUGCGGAUUCAAAUGAAAUUGAAACUUCCUAAUUGAUGGUCAAAAAGAAUAAUGGUAAGUUAUACUUCAAGGAUGAUUGACAUGGCAUGACUUGAGUGAGAACUAUAAGAUGACUCAUAAAGUUACCAACAACUAAUUGACUGCAUCUGAUGAUUGAUGUAACUUCUAGAAUUCUGCUGGAAAUGUGUAUUGAAGUUUCUCCAUGAUUCAAAGAUGACUUGCACAAUUUUUGGAGAGUGGACUAAUUUUUGCAAACAACGAAGGUUCUUUGAAGGAUUGUCUAUCAAGUUUGGAAGCAUCUAAUAACAAUGUCAUACAUGCAUGUGAGGACUGCCCCACAAUUUGGUCUGUGAACUAGAUUAGUCACACCUACAGGAAAUGGAGUAUUCAAACCUCUUUUUUAGACAGAACAAUAUUUUAAGAGAGGCCAUUGUGUAUGUGGAUUGGUGGGUGUUGUUGGUUGGCAUGUUUGGGUUUAGGUGCUACUGCAGUUUCAGCGGCUGUGGUGGCUUCCUUUUGCUUUCCUUUUGGUGGUGAGAUCUCCCUAUCGGUUCUGCUAUGCCUCCAUGUCCUUUCUGUUAUAGUGCUGGCUGUGAUGCAGGAGUAUUCGUGGGUUUGCUAUUGUUUUGAUGACUAUAUAGUUGUUGUCAUGUUUGGCCUUUUGUUCUCAUUUAUACCUCAACAUCAUGUUAUUUUGUCUUUGGCUGGGUUGCUGUUUUGCUUGGAUUUUUUGGCAGCUUUUUCUUUGGGAUGUUGGAAGGUUUGUUUGCUUUUGUCCGGUGAUCCGCUAUAUACGGCACCUUAUUUGUAUUUUGCCUUAUUGACUUUAUCCGCAAUUGUUUUUUGUGUCUUGCCUUUUAGGGAGACCGAAAUUGCAA